rnacentral:rRNA from 1 species
AUUGAACGCUGGCGGCAUGCUUUACACAUGCAAGUCGAACGGCAGCAUGGGCUUCGGCCUGAUGGCGAGUGGCGAACGGGUGAGUAAUAUAUCGGAACGUACCCAAGAGUGGGGGAUAACGUAGCGAAAGUUACGCUAAUACCGCAUACGAUCCAAGGAUGAAAGUGGGGGACCUUCGGGCCUCAUGCUCCUGGAGCGGCCGAUAUCUGAUUAGCUAGUUGGUAGGGUAAAGGCCUACCAAGGCAUCGAUCAGUAGCUGGUCUGAGAGGACGACCAGCCACACUGGAACGGAGACACGGUCCAGACUCCUACGGGAGGCAGCAGUGGGGAAUUUUGGACAAUGGGGGCAACCCUGAUCCAGCAAUGCCGCGUGAGUGAAGAAGGCCUUCGGGUUGUAAAGCUCUUUUGUCAGGGAAGAAACGGUUGUGGCUAAUAUCCAUGGCUAAUGACGGUACCUGAAGAAUAAGCACCGGCUAACUACGUGCCAGCAGCCGCAGUAAGAC